UACGUAGGUGGCAAGCGUUGUCCGGAAUUAUUGGGCGUAAAGCGCGCGCAGGCGGUCUCUUAAGUCUGAUGUGAAAUCCCGUGGCUUAACCACGGGCGGUCAUUGGAAACUGGGGGACUUGAGUGCAGAAGAGAAGAGCGGAAUUCCACGUGUAGCGGUGAAAUGCGUAGAGAUGUGGAGGAACACGAGUGGCGAAGGCGGCUCUUUGGUCUGUAACUGACGCUGAGGCGCGAAAGCGUGGGGAGCGAACAGG
rnacentral:rRNA from 1 species